GUAACUUGGAAGAAUGUAAGUGUAUUAUAGUAAUACAGUAACGAUUAACUCGUAUAAAAUUCUAAAUAGGAUAAUGAUAAUGACAAUUUCCUAUUUAUAAGUCUUGACCAAAUUACGUGCCAGCAGUCGCGGUAAUACGUAGAAGACUAGUGUUAGUCAUCUUUAUUAGGUUUAAAGGGUACCUAGACGGUAAAUUAAACUCUAAAUGAGUACUUUUUUACUAGAGUUUUAUGUGAGAAGGAAGAAUUUCUGGAGUAGUGAUGAAAUACCUUGAUACCAGAAGGACUGGUAACGGCGAAGGCAUCCUUCUAUGUAAAAACUGACGUUGAGGGACGAAGGCUUGGGUAGCAAUAAGGAUUAGAUACCCUAGUAGUCCAAGCAGAAAAUGAUGAAUGUCAUAGGCUAGAUAAUAUUUAGUCUAUAAAUGAAAGUGUAAGC
rnacentral:rRNA from 1 species